GAUGAACGCUGGCGGCGUGCCUAAUACAUGCAAGUCGAACGCAUAGCGAAAGGUGCUUGCACCUUUCAAGUGAGUGGCGAACGGGUGAGUAACACGUGGACAACCUGCCUCAAGGCUGGGGAUAACAUUUGGAAACAGAUGCUAAUACCGAAUAAAACUUAGUGUCGCAUGACACAAAGUUAAAAGGCGCUUCGGCGUCACCUAGAGAUGGAUCCGCGGUGCAUUAGUUAGUUGGUGGGGUAAAGGCCUACCAAGACAAUGAUGCAUAGCCGAGUUGAGAGACUGAUCGGCCACAUUGGGACUGAGACACGGCCCAAACGCCUACGGGAGGCUGCAGUAGGGAAUCUUCCACAAUGGGCGAAAGCCUGAUGGAGCAACGCCGCGUGUGUGAUGAAGGCUUUCGGGUCGUAAAGCACUGUUGUAUGGGAAGAACAGCUAGAAUAGGAAAUGAUUUUAGUUUGACGGUACCAUACCAGAAAGGGACGGCUAAAUACGUG
rnacentral:rRNA from 1 species